GGGUGUGCGAGUGAGGAUCGCCGGUAGCACGACCUUGGUCGCCAAGCUACCGGAGGAAAGUCCGAGCUCCACAGGGCAGGGUGCCGGGUAACGCCCGGGCGCCGUCUGGUGGCGGCGACGGAAAGCGCAACAGAGAGCAGACCGCCGAUGGCCUCCGCGAGGAGGCUCAGGCAAGGGUGAAACGGUGCGGUAAGAGCGCACCGGGCGUCCGGUAACGGAUGUCGCACGGCAAGCCCCACCCGGAGCAAGGCCAAAUAGGGGACGAGGGGUGGCCCGCCCCGUCCGAGUCCCGGGUAGGUCGCUAGAGGCCGGCGGCGACGCCGGUCCCAGAGAAAUGGUCCUCCCCCGCUUCGGCGGGGACAGAACUCGGCUUAUUCCGCGCGCUCGAUG
rnacentral:RNase_P_RNA from 1 species